AGUUCCCUAGAAUAUUCGCCAGCCAAAAGUGUUCUUGAGCCGAUAAUUGUUACCCCGGAGGCUUCUCGAUAGAUGUUGUUGUGCAUGUCCGCUUGUCGGAAAGCCUUAUGCAUCGCGAGGGCCACCACCUGAACCUUUCGGUUCAGGGCAACUUUGGUAGCGGUAUUUCGGGGGGCUU
rfam:Cryomorphaceae bacterium BACL22 MAG-120619-bin3 contig02451_1_120619-bin3, whole genome shotgun sequence.